ACGUAGGUGGCAAGCGUUGUCCGGAUUUAUUGGGUUUAAAGGGUGCGUAGGCGGCCCUGUAAGUCAGUGGAGAAAUACGGCAGCUCAACUGUCGAGGUGCCAUUGAUACUGCGGGGCUUGAGUGUUGAUGAGGUAGGCGGAAUUGACGGUGUAGCGGUGAAAUGCUUAGAUAUCGUCAAGAACACCGAUAGCGAAGGCAGCUUACCAAGCAAUAACUGA
rnacentral:rRNA from 1 species